GACGAACGCUGGCGGCGUGCUUAACACACGCAAGUCGAACGAUGAACCCGGAGCUUGCUCCGGUGGAUUAGUGGCGAACGGGUGAGUAACACGUGAGUAACCUGCCCUUGACUCUGGGAUAACUGCGGGAAACUGUAGCUAAUACCGGAUACGACCCUCGGCGGCAUCGCCAGGGGGUGGAAAGGAUCUCGGUCAAGGAUGGACUCGCGGCCUAUCAGCUAGUUGGUGAGGUAACGGCUCACCAAGGCGACGACGGGUAGCCGGCCUGAGAGGGUGACCGGCCACACUGGGACUGAGACACGGCCCAGACUCCUACGGGAGGCAGCAGUGGGGAAUAUUGCACAAUGGGCGCAAGCCUGAUGCAGCAACGCCGCGUGAGGGAUGGCGGCCUUCGGGUUGUGAACCUCUUUUAGUAGGGAAGAAGCGAAAGUGACGGUACCUGCAGAAAAAGCACCGGCUAACUACGUGCCAGCCGCCGCCGUAA
rnacentral:rRNA from 1 species